UAGGCAGAAGCCCGUAGGAUAGGGCACUUAGCUGUUAACUAAGUAGUCAUGGGAUCGAGGCCCAUCUGUCUAG
rnacentral:tRNA from 1 species